GGAAGUAAAAGUCGUAACAAGGUUUCCGUAGGUGAACCUGCGGAAGGAUCAUUAAAGAGUAAGGGUGCUCAGCGCCCGACCUCCAACCCUUUGUUGUUAAAACUACCUUGUUGCUUUGGCGGGACCGCUCGGUCUCGAGCCGCUGGGGAUUCGUCCCAGGCGAGCGCCCGCCAGAGUUAAACCAAACUCUUGUUAUUAAACCGGUCGUCUGAGUUAAAAUUUUGAAUAAAUCAAAACUUUCAACAACGGAUCUCUUGGUUCUCGCAUCGAUGAAGAACGCAGCGAAAUGCGAUAAGUAAUGUGAAUUGCAGAAUUCAGUGAAUCAUCGAAUCUUUGAACGCACAUUGCGCCCCUUGGUAUUCCGAGGGGCAUGCCUGUUCGAGCGUCAUUACACCACUCAAGCUAUGCUUGGUAUUGGGUGCCGUCCUUAGUUGGGCGCGCCUUAAAGACCUCGGCGAGGCCUCACCAGCUUUAGGCGUAGUAGAAUUUAUUCGAACGUCUGUCAAAGGAGAGGACUUCUGCCGACUGAAACCUUUAUUUUUCUAGGUUGACCUCGGAUCAGGUAGGGAUACCCGCUGAACUUAAGCAUAUCAAUAAGCGGAGGAA
rnacentral:rRNA from 1 species